UCCAAAAUUCCAACCGUGCUACCAUAAUAUCGGACAGAAUAAAUUUCCAUGCGUCUCCAUGUGAUGAUGCUCCACGGAGAUGUUGCGACAUCAACGACGAAGAAACCAACCAAGAGUGGUCAAGAUGACACAUUCAAGAAGAAGAAUCGGAAAGGAUUGUCGAAGUCUACAUAAACAAGCAUUCUAACAAUCGCCAUGCUGAAAUUGAAUCAGCAUCUACGGGAUUCAUAGGGUAAUUUGAAGAUUUUAGAUUCUGAUGCGCUCGCCAAGGCGAAGGAAGGAGGAGAUUCCCAAGAACGGACAGACAAGAAUACCGCCUGAGAUCUGGAUUGAUGGAUAAACCGAGGACCAAAUUUCAACCCGCGCAUCGAGCCCUAAAAAAGCAUAAACCAAACGAUCGGUGCAACAGAUCUCCACACAUCUCCAUCUCAUGAUGCUCCACGAAGAUGUUGCGACAUACAUCGACCAAGCAAACACCCAAAAGAUAUCAAGAUGACACAAUAAAUAAGAAGAAAAAAGAAUCUGAAGGAAAAUGGAAAGAGGGAAGAGGAGAUCUUACUGGAGGUCCGCGGAUCAUCUUCCUUAGUAAGAGGAGAAGGAGGAGGUGGUGGGGAGGAAUCGGGAACAGAUCUCCCUUGGCCUGUGAUAAGGGCGAGGCGGUCGGAUCCACGC
rnacentral:lncRNA from 1 species